GGGUUGUGAGGUUAAGCGACUAAGCGUACACGGUGGAUGCCCUGGCAGUCAGAGGCGAUGAAGGACGUGCUAAUCUGCGAUAAGCGUCGGUAAGGUGAUAUGAACCGUUAUAACCGGCGAUUUCCGAAUGGGGAAACCCAGUGUGUUUCGACACACUAUCAUUAACUGAAUCCAUAGGUUAAUGAGGCGAACCGGGGGAACUGAAACAUCUAAGUACCCCGAGGAAAAGAAAUCAACCGAGAUUCCCCCAGUAGCGGCGAGCGAACGGGGAGCAGCCCAGAGCCUGAAUCAGUGUGUGUGUUAGUGGAAGCGUCUGGAAAGGCGCGCGAUACAGGGUGACAGCCCCGUACACAAAAAUGCACAUGCUGUGAGCUCGAUGAGUAGGGCGGGACACGUGGUAUCCUGUCUGAAUAUGGGGGGACCAUCCUCCAAGGCUAAAUACUCCUGACUGACCGAUAGUGAACCAGUACCGUGAGGGAAAGGCGAAAAGAACCCCGGCGAGGGGAGUGAAAAAGAACCUGAAACCGUGUACGUACAAGCAGUGGGAGCACGCUUAGGCGUGUGACUGCGUACCUUUUGUAUAAUGGGUCAGCGACUUAUAUUCUGUAGCAAGGUUAACCGAAUAGGGGAGCCGAAGGGAAACCGAGUCUUAACUGGGCGUUAAGUUGCAGGGUAUAGACCCGAAACCCGGUGAUCUAGCCAUGGGCAGGUUGAAGGUUGGGUAACACUAACUGGAGGACCGAACCGACUAAUGUUGAAAAAUUAGCGGAUGACUUGUGGCUGGGGG
rnacentral:rRNA from 1 species